UAGAGGUGGAGUUGAUGGUAGGUGGAACUAAUUUGUUUAGCUUCAUUGUGUGUUCAAAAGAGUUUGGGGUGACAGAUUUUAAGUGUUUCCUAUGUGAGCUCUGCCUUUUGAGAUCAGUUGAACUGAAAAGCAUGUUGUGCUUGACUAGAAAAAGCUUGUGAGUUGUGACUUUGAAUAGACAGUGGAAUCUAAAUUGAAUUAGUGGCCAACUUUUAUCCUUACAACUAAGCCUCUUUAUAUUUCCUGUUUACAGAUUUUUGGAACUUCCCUUGCUGCCCAUUUAUAUAGUUUGGAUGAGUUAUAUCACCAGCAGCAGCCAAGAUAGGACUUUAUUUCUGAUAGUAUCCAUGUGUCAUGCUUAAAUUGUUAGGCAGUCCUAUAAAAAAACUGGAUAAAAUAGGGCCCCAGGAAGGGAAAGAAAAGUGAUCUGGUGUCAUGGCAAAUUCUAGGGAAUUGUCUGUUUUUAAGAGAGAGUUUUAAUACAAUUUUUUAUAUUCCUCAAACUUUAAUGUUCUUAGUCUGUAAGUGUAAGACUGAAUGCCUACUUUAAAGCUGGUAGUUUAAAGAGGGGGAAAGAGGUGAAGGGUUAACUUAAUCAUGCCCCUGUCUUUAUGAAUUGAUUCUUUGCAUUUUCUGGGAUUCUGAUCUGGAUGUUUGAGAUUUGGCAUAGAGGUUAAAAAGCUGAAAUUUUCUUAAUAAAACUGUAUGUCUUUCUGAGGCAAGACUAUGUCUCUCCUUGAUUGCAGUAAAAGUAAAAGACAUUCUUAAGGGGUCUUGAUUUUGCUGGGUGACUUUGGGCAAAUGAUGUCAUACUAUUGGGCCUGUUUCUUAAUUUAUAAAAUGAGGGGCAGCAUUAAACUCUAAAACUCUUAUAGUGGAUUAGUAGACUAUAAUUAAGAUUGCGUACAAACACACACCCACAUUGACAGCUCACUUGCUGCUCGUAUCAUUUGGGGAAUGUGACUGGCUUGGUUGCAUAGGUCUGUUCUUGGCAGUUUUAUCCACAUCGAGAGAAUCAUUCUGUGCAUUUUGACUCGUGAUUUUGUUAAUCCAAUAGUGACUUUUAGGAUUAUCUCUCCUGUAGUAAAAAUUAAGUUACUACCAUGAUGUUUGGAAUCUUUAAGAUGAGUAACAUGAACAAAUUUACAAUUGCUUUGCUUAUACAGAAAACUUGAUUUUUUUAAUCUACAUGUUCUGUAAUUUCAUUUGCUAAGAAAUUUAUCUUUCAUUUUCUUCCAGAGUGAAUACAUGAAUAUUUCCAUAGCUGUACUCUAUAUUUGAUCACUUUUUCUUUGUGGGUUUUAUCAGCUGAACAUAAAUAAAGUAAUUGUUCAUCUUCUACUUUAAAAAUGCUCCUUGACAUAAAGUCUUCUCACAUCAGUCCCACAUGUGACAGCCUACUCAGAUGAUUUAAGCUGCCCAGUGGUGCUUGUUUCUCAUUUGGAAAUCUAGCCAUUUAUGCAUCCUUAUGCACUGUUUUCCCUGUCGCAAGUUUUAGAUUAUAAGCUCCUUGAGAAAGGAGCUUAAUUUUUCCUUUGUAUCUCAUAGCACCCAGGACAGAGCUCUGUUAAUCUCUGAAUAGUUUAUAAAUGUUAUUGCUAUUAAGGAUUUUGGAUCAAAAUUAUUGGAUAGAAUGGAAUAAGCCUGUUUCUGGGAUAUCAAACUGUUUGGGGUCAGUGUGAUUAACUCAAAGACAUAGCAGAUUUAUUAAACUCUAAGCUUUGUUUCUGAAGUCAUUUUCUUUUGAUUUAAUCAUAAGUGGUUUAUUCACCUUAUAUUUUCUUUUACUUCAUACUUUGGUCUCAGGUUAUAAAUAGGGGAGCAUCUUUGUCAGUAGAUGUGAGUUGGAUAGCUGUGCAUGUGUUCCUUGUGUGUGUGUGUGAGAAAGACAGAGAGAGAGUCAGAGAGACAGAGAGUGUGAGAGCACCAGCACGUAAAAAUGUAUGAGACUUUGGGGGUACAUUUAAUGUUUAGAAUUUUAAAUUAUCUAAGUCUUGCUUAGCUCUCUAGUUAUGUGCAUUUAAUUCUGGAUCUAUUAUAGUUAACAUUCCAAAACAAUUUUUAAUCAGCAGUAAGCCUGGGGUCUUGGGAAGAUAAGGUCAUAGUUUUGUUUCCUUUCAUGUUUUCAUUUUAGCUUUAUUGUGUAUAUGCUAGACUGAAAUUAAAUUGUCAGGAUAAAUAAGUACUUUCAGUUAUAUAGCUAUAAUAUAGUACUAUAAUGUGUUAUGUAUAUACAUAUAUAUAUCAUGAUACUAUAACUACUUUCAGGAGCCAAUUUAUUGAUGGGAAGAAAUGAUAUAAGGGCUCUGAGAUACACCUCAACAACAUUUGGGAAUGAUUUAAUAUGUCUAAUAUCUGAAAAGCAUCAAAACAGAGACUGUACACUCAACGAUCAUAAGGCCUAAUGGUUGACAAUUAUAUUAUUGAAAGGCUCUAUGAAGAUUAGCUGUAAUAAUUAAGAGAAAAGGAGCCUGAAUUGGUGCAGAAAAGGGCCUGUGGUUUUGACUGUAAUUAGAAGAAUAUAACCAUAACUUUUGUCUUCUCAAUACAAAGAAUGAUAUUGCAUGCAGGGACAUGUCAUAUCUCUUCAUUGUAACCUUUAACUUGUCAUGGUAUGCACUGCUACGAUGGGUGAUGAUUUAAUAAAUAAUUUGUGAACGUAGAUGUUACUCUCAGAGUGUUUCUAAAUAUUACAAUUAGCUUUUAGGUGGAGUCAAUGUUUAAGACGAUUUAAAUUUGUCACUGCAUAAUUUAUAAAUAUCACCAUUGAAUAAAUACCAUCUUUAUCAUCUGUUAAUUUGGGUUACAGGGUGAUUGAGAGAGCUUGAGGGGGGAUUAAUUUAAAACUAAUCUCUGAAGAUAUGAAAUUUUUUUUUUGGUAUCAUUUCUUCUCAAACAAAAUGUUAUGACUGCUUGAAAGGCGUAAAUCAGUAACAGUCACUUUAUUUUCCAUUUAGUCAUUGCUCAUUAUCAGUUGGUAGUUGUGAGAACAAUUUAAUAAAGUUUGGGUAAUUUAGUUUUCAGUUUAUAUUCUCAACUGGCAAUUGGCCGAAAACUCCUAGCAGAAGACGUGAGCAUCCCCAUGUCAUUUUGUGAUUUGGCUACUGUCUGCUUGAUAUAGGAAGGCCCUGUCAAGAAAGACUAAUGGAGUGACUAACUAUCAAAAGGAAAUCAAUGGAAAAUCUUAAACUUCCAUCACAGAAGAUUAAAAAGAGGUUCCUCCUGCACCAAGAAAGAUCUGCAGAUCUUUUUCAGUGUUCUUGGAGGUGUGGGGUGUGAGAACUUGAUCAGUUUGUGUCAACCACCUUGUUCUCUAAAGGACGCAGCAGGCUGAAAGGUAUAGCAUGUGGCAUUGCUAUCAGCCCGCUAACAGUGGUGGGACACUCAUCCUUGAAGAACAGCUGAGAGCGAGAGAGCCUCAACUUAUAGCCAGAUGACUGACCCUGCAGUUUCUCCUUUGCAAGAGGACAUUUUUUAAAGGUUGUAUAUUUAGGAAUUUAUAAAAGCCAUACCCUGUUGAUACCUUUUUAUUUUAUUAGGGUAUUAGUAAAAAAACAAAUAUUAAAAAAGACUCCUAAUUUAUGAACACCUCAGUAAUGGUUUAUUACAUGUAUUUCUAUCUAAAAUUGCGAGAUUAUGUAUUUAGACUGUAGAAAAUAAACUGCAAUAGAAUCAUUAGUUCUACACAUAGUUUUGCAUGGCAUUGUACCACAUAAUAACUAGAAAUGAAGUUAAGUGAGUAUAAUCUAUGCUCACCAGAAGCUUAAAGCAGAGGACAUCAACAUAGACGUAUAAAAGGCAUACAAACAACUGAACAAGUAACAUAAAUACAUCAAUAACAUAAGUGCAUUUUGGGCUUCAUGGGUAAUGAGAAGUCCUUGUUUCUGCUGAAAUAGUCUAGCAAAAAGUACAUCUUUUUUCUAUACCCUAGGGACACUUUACACAGGAUGUGGAAUUUUAGGUGCUGUGUAGAUGACAAGAGAGAAAUUGCUUUUGAAAUGCUGCAGUGAAAAAGGAAGGCAAUGUGUGAUUGCAGAUAUAGAGGGGGAAAGGCUGGCUGCUGGCGUCGGGGCGGUGAGCUUGUGGUGGUGUAGAAAUAGAAGGCCGAGUCCAUCGAGCAAAGAGAUUGAACAGAUCUGUCAUGAGAGGAAACAGACAGACACACAUAAAGGGUGCUGGAGCGGAGGACAGAAAGCUGACGCAGGGUCCACUGCUGGGAGUUUUGGUGUUUUUUUCCUUUAGGGCAGAAAAUGUGAAUGAGACAAAAUACUGCCUCUAUAUAGGGAUGCCUAUAAAAAUUUUGACUGCCACUUAGAGUGAUACAUAGAUAGUCGGUGUUUUUGAAACAUUUGAUUACAGUUUAAUUAUGCUUGUAGAAUGAACAUUUUUAUGAUUGCAUAGUAAUUAAAAUAAACUUAAUAUUCACAGACAUAAAAGGGUGAAAUGCCUUGGUCUUUUCUGCCUUAAGACACCACUGUUGGCUGCCUGCUGUUGUCUCAAAGCUUGGCCACACACUUCUGCCCCCUCCACUUCCCUUGCAAAACCUUGCCUCUUCCAGACUUCCCUGUUCUCUUAUAGCCGAUACUGCAUCUCUCUGGGUGAGCACAUUGGGAGUCAAUUUUGAUGUCUGUCUUCUCAUUGCCAUUUGAAAUACUAACCUUGCCAUUUAAUAACUGCAUGAUCUUUUGCAAGUUGCUUGAUUUCUCUGAGCCUCAGUUUUUUUUUUUUUCCAUAUGUAACCUGGGGCUAAUAAAACUUAAUAUUGCCAUUUUCAGAAUUAAUGAACUAAUAUUUGAAAGCACCCAGAAUAGUUCAAGGUAUGCAGUAGUUUAGUUUUAGUGCAGCAAAAGUUACUUGUUUUUCCUCUCUUCUCAAGUGACAAUAAUAAGUCUACUGAAAAGGGAUAAUUUGGAGAAAAAAACUUACAUGAAUUGUGGUUUUGCCAAAAUUGUAGUUUGUAUUUAGACAGUGGAUUACGUAUGAAUUUGUUCUCAUGCAAUAGGCUAUCAGGUGUUUUUCUUUUACCUUAGUUGUGUAGUUUUAAAAAUUUAACUAGGGCAAAAUGAAAUGUAGUAUCCUUUUCCUACAGAGGACCUAUAAAAUCAUAAUUAAAGUAAGAAAAUCAGUGAGAGGAGUUGCUACAUGAAACAGGUUAUACUACUUAGUUCUAAUUUUAGUUAUGAAAUUAUUUGCUUCUCAAACUAAGGCAUUGUCUCUAAUUCUGUAUCUGCACAGAUGAUUUAGUGAUUUUAGAAUUAGAAGUUAAUAUUUUCACAUACCUACCUAGAAUAAUCAUCACAGAGUAUCUGAUUUUGAUCUCCCUGUCCUGUGUGACAUCAUAUCAGACACUUCAUAAUCUUUACGAUAAUCCUUUGGCAGUCAUGACUGACUCUCUCCCUUCCAUCUUCAAAGACCCCUCCGCAAAGUGAACAUCAGUCCUCACCUGGUUACAAACAGCAGUUUUGUCAACAAGACUUUCUGAUACGUUACAUAAGGAGCACACAUCUCAGAGAAUAGCACAGCAUUAUUCGUACUUUGUAAAGCUUAACUGUUGAUGAAAGAUACGAACUUAAACAUAGCGUAAGUGAGUCAGCCCCAGUGCAAACAAGGUUAUUGAGUAUCAGGAAUCACAGAUUUCAUCCAGGCUGGUUUUAUCAGU